UAUACACUCGUAAACUUAUUUUAUACUUUAAUAAUAUUUAACCUGUAUAGUCUUUGUAGACUUACAAGACUCGUGUUGUAUCCCUGAAUAAGCCACAUGCCCGUCUUGUUCUAUGAUAUUCUUAUAAAAAUAGGUAAGCAAAUUUCGUUAAAAGUAAACGCGAAAUAAAGUCGGCGAAACAUUUUUUUUUCUACGAGAAUGAAUAAAAU